rnacentral:rRNA from 1 species
CCUACGGGAGGCAGCAGUGGGGAAUCAUGGACAAUGGGGGAAACCCUGAUGGAGCGACGCCGCGUGAGGGAAUAAGUAUUUCGGUAUGUAAAGCUCUAUCCGCGGGGAAGAAAGACAUGACGAUACCUCCCUAAGAAGCCCCGACUAACAACGUGCCCGCAGCCGCGGUAGUACGUAGGGGCAAGCGUUCUCCGGAUGUAAUGGGUGUAACGGGAGCGUAGACGGCGAUGCAAGUCUGAAGUGAAAGGCGUGGGCCCAACCCCUGGACUGCUUUGGAAACUGUAGGACUGGAGUGAAGGAGAGGUAAGUGGAAUUCCUAGUGUAGCGGUGAAAUGCGUAGAUAUUAGGAGGAACACUAGUGGCGAAGGCGGGUUACUGGACUGUAACUGACGUUGAGGCUCGAAAGCGUGGGGAGCAAACAGGAUUAGAUACCCUUGUAGUC